UACGAGGGGGGCAAGCGUUGUUCGGAAUUACUGGGUGUAAAGCGCGCGUAGGUGGCAGGCCAAGUCUGUGGUGAAAGCGCCCGGCUCAACUGGGCAUGGUCCAUGGAAACUGGUCAGCUGGAGGACGGUAGAGGCGAGUGGAAUUCCCGGUGUAGUGGUGAAAUGCGUAGAGAUCGGGAGGAACACCAGAGGCGAAGGCGGCUACCUGGACAAUUGCUGACGCUCAGGCACGAAAGCGUGGGGAGCAAAAGGG
rnacentral:rRNA from 1 species